GACGAACGCUGGCGGCGUGCUUAACACAUGCAAGUCGAACGGAAAGGCCCUGCUUUUGUGGGGUGCUCGAGUGGCGAACGGGUGAGUAACACGUGAGUAACCUGCCCUUGACUUUGGGAUAACUUCAGGAAACUGGGGCUAAUACCGGAUAGGAGCUCCUGCUGCAUGGUGGGGGUUGGAAAGUUUCGGCGGUUGGGGAUGGACUCGCGGCUUAUCAGCUUGUUGGUGGGGUAGUGGCUUACCAAGGCUUUGACGGGUAGCCGGCCUGGGAGGGUGACCGGCCACAUUGGGACUGAGAUACGGCCCAGACUCCUACGGGAGGCAGCAGUGGGGAAUAUUGCACAAUGGGCGGAAGCCUGAUGCAGCAACGCCGCGUGCGGGAUGACGGCCUUCGGGUUGUAAACCGCUUUCGCCUGUGACGAGGCGUGAGUGACGGUAAUGGGUAAAGAAGCACCGGCUAACUACGUG
rnacentral:rRNA from 1 species